AGCAGCCGCGGUAAUUCCAGCUCCAAUAGCGUAUAUUAAAGUUGUUGCAGUUAAAAAGCUCGUAGUUGAAUUUCGGGAUCAAUUAAUUGGUCGUGCCUCUGGUACGUACUGAUUUUAUUGGUUUCUCCCUUCUGACGAACCAUGAUGUCAUUAAUUUGAUGUCGUGGAGAAUCAGGACUGUUACUUUGAAAAAAUUAGAGUGUUUAAAGCAAGCUAACGCUUGAAUACAUUAGCAUGGAAUAAUGAAAUAGGACGUUUGAUCCUAUUUUGUUGGUUUCUAGGAUCGACGUAAUGAUUAAUAGGGAUAGUUGGGGGCAUUAGUAUUCAAUUGUCAGAGGUGAAAUUCUUGGAUUUAUUGAAGACUAACUACUGCGAAAGCAUUUGCCAAGGAUGUUUUCAUUAAUCAAGAACGAAAGUUAGGGGAUCGAAGACGAUCAGAUACCGUCGUAGUCUUAACCAUAAACUAUGCCGACUAGGGAUCGGAUGAUGUUAAUUUUUUAAUGACUCAUUCGGCGCCUUA
rnacentral:sRNA from 1 species